ACUGAUCACAACGGUACCAGAACUCGGUACGGGAGACAGCAGUAGGCCAAUCUUCUCGCAAAUGGCCGAAACUCUGAUCGGAGCAUACGCCCGGCGUGAGUGCCUGAAUGGUUUUCGCGAUCGUAAAGGUCUGUUGUUAGGGAAGGACAAGUGCCCGUUCAAACAGGCGCGGUCAUCUUGACUGUAACUAGCCAGAAAGGCACGGAUAACUACGUGCCAGCAGCCGCGGUUAUACGUGGGUGGCAAUCGUUGUCCGGAAUUAUUGGGCGUAAAGGGCUCGCAGGCGGUUUCUUAAGUCUGAUGUGAAAGCCCCCGGCUCAACCGGGGAGGGUCAUUGGAAACUGGGGAACUUGAGUGCAGAAGAGGAGAGUGGAAUUCCACGUGUAGCGGUGAAAUGCGUAGAGAUGUGGAGGAACACCAGUGGCGAAGGCGACUCUCUGGUCUGUAACUGACGCUGAGGAGCGAAAGCGUGGGGAGCGAACAGGAUUAGAUACCCUGGUAGUCCACGCCGUAAACGAUGAGUGCUAAGUGUUAGGGGGUUUCCGCCCCUUAGUGCUGCAGCUAACGCAUUAAGCACUCCGCCUGGGGAGUACGGUCGCAAGACUGAAACUCAAAGGAAUUGACGGGGGCCCGCACAAGCGGUGGAGCAUGUGGUUUAAUUCGAAGCAACGCGAAGAACCUUACCAGGUCUUGACAUCCUCUGACAAUCCUAGAGAUAGGACGUCCCCUUCGGGGGCAGAGUGACAGGUGGUGCAUGGUUGUCGUCAGCUCGUGUCGUGAGAUGUUGGGUUAAGUCCCGUAACGAGCGCAACCCUUGAUCUUACUUGCCAGCAUUCAGUUGGGCACUCUAAGGUGACUGCCGGUGACAAACCGGAAGAAGGUGGGGAUGACUUCAAAUCAUCAUGCCCCUUAUGACCUGUGCUACACACGUGCUACAAUGGACGGAACAAAGGGCAGCG
rnacentral:rRNA from 1 species